CUGAUGGCAGCCAUUUUCUACAUCUCGUCUCUGGGAAGGUUUGGCUUACCUGAGAAGAUUCUGUCAUCUUACAUUCACAAGAUUAAGGCUUACCAAGGUUGUUGAGUGCCAUGUUUUAAAAGAUUCUCUGGCAUGUUCUAGGUCUCUGGCAAAGGAUGUCCACUGUAAAAGAGAAGCCAUCAUAAAACCUCUUUGUCUGCCCCUGAAUGAUGAAAUGAUGAUGAUGGAUUUCUUAUCAAGGAGUACAUGGACAUUCAAGGUGAAGACAUCUUGAGAGACCAGCACAGCACUGGGCAUUUAUGUCAUCAGAAGAGGGUGGAGCUCUUGGAGAAUAUGAAGACGCUGACGCUGAUGGAAACAUUAUUGUAGGAAACAUCAAAUCAGUUGCACCGGACUGCAGUAAUGCUUGGAGUAAUCUAUGCAAUGAAUAUGGCUUACCACAAUGGGUGGAAAUGCUGCUAUGAAUUUGUACAUUCCUCAUGCCAAAGGAUGGUGCAAAGCUCUCCCCUAAUAUUCUUGGUUUGGAGAACAAAAUCUUGGGAUAGUCAAAGUAGGCUGUCUAAACGCAAUGGACUUUUGAACAACGCUUAAGUCACAUGAAACAAGAAUGGCUGUAUUUGUCAAAAUCUCUUAAAAUUCAGUGACAUUUCAGUGAUUUUCUAUACAACAUGUCAAGAUCCUGGUCAUGUUUAAGAACAAUGUCUUAAAACGGCAUGCAGUUAAAUUUGAGUCUUUUUUGCUAACACUGUACAAAGUAGCCUUUUGAAUAAUUUGAGCUCUAUAAACUUUCACCUCAAAUUUGCAUAGUCUAACAAGCAAAAUAAGGUUGUGCUAACUAGAGGCAGUGCUUUGACAAGAAGGUUGUACUCUGUGGGCACUAUUUCUGGGGCAUUAUUUUGAUCACUGAUGACAAUUGGAUAUUGUAUAAAG